CCUACGGGUGGCAGCAGUGGGGAAUAUUGGACAAUGGGCGAAAGCCUGAUCCAGCCAUGCCGCGUGUGUGAAGAAGGCCUUCGGGUUGUAAAGCACUUUCAGUGGGGAAGAAAGCCUUGGGGCUAAUACCCUCGAGGAAGGACAUCACUCACAGAAGAAGCACCGGCUAACUCCGUGCCAGCAGCCGCGGUAAUACGGAGGGUGCGAGCGUUAAUCGGAAUUACUGGGCGUAAAGCGCGCGUAGGCGGUCUGAUAAGCCGGUUGUGAAAGCCCCGGGCUCAACCUGGGAACGGCAUCCGGAACUGUCAGGCUAGAGUGCAGGAGAGGAAGGUAGAAUUCCCGGUGUAGCGGUGAAAUGCGUAGAGAUCGGGAGGAAUACCAGUGGCGAAGGCGGCCUUCUGGACUGACACUGACGCUGAGGUGCGAAAGCGUGGGUAGCAAACAGGAUUAGAUACCCGAGUAGUC
rnacentral:rRNA from 1 species